GUUUCACUUUUUGGGGUUUCUUUUAGAUCUGGAGACGAACAUCAUCGCUUCGGUAUUCCAAUUCUCUUUUUGGGUUUUGACAUCAUCAGGAUCUGGGUUUGUGAUUAUUCUGUUUCUAUGCCGUCGAAACCCAUCCCAUCUUGAACUGAAAAUUCCAGAAACUGAAAUUUCCUGAGCUCUGGGAACCUGGAGAUGGACACUUUCCGAGUUUUCUAAUUCAUUUCAUCAUCAUUUGAUUGUUGUCUUUGAAUUUUCUUUCUAGGUUUUUUGGUGGUUUUGUUUUUGUUGUUGCUAAUUUGGGUUUUGGUGAAUUUGUGAAGAGCAAGCGGUGUGUGUAGAAAUUGGAAACAGGGGUGAAGCAGAGUCUGGGACGCAGAGACAGUUUGAGCUUUGCUGGUUGGAAGAUGGGUUCUCAGAUAUGAUUUUUGGGUGUGAGAACUCUAGCUGGAGAACAAGAGGAUGAUGGACAGUUCUAUUUAGGAUUUUUGGGUGUGAGAACUCUAGCUGGAGAACAAGAGGAUGAUGGACAGUUCUAUUAAAUAGAGAGGACAAGCCUUCUGAGGGCAAGAGAAGAAGCUUUGGGUUUGCGAACUCUAGCUGGAGAACAAGAGGAUGAUGGACAGUUCUAUUAGAGAAAUAGAGAGGACAAGCCUUCUGAGGGUAAGAGAAGAAGCUGGUUCGAGGUUAAGAAAAGUGCUAAGCAAGGGCAGAUGAUGUGUUUUUCUUCUGAUCGGAUACAAGAAGGUAAUUCAAAUAAGCCCCUU